GAUGAACGCUGGCGGCGCGCCUAAUACAUGCAAGUCGAGCGAACGGACGAGAACCUGGUUUCUCUGAUGUUAGCCGCGCACGGGAGAGAAACACGUGGAAAACCCACCUAUAAGACUGGGAAAACUUCGGGAAACCGGGGCUAACACCGGAAAAUCAUGUGAACCGCAUGCUUCAAAAGUGAAAGACGGAUUUGCUGUCAGUUAGAGUUGCAUCCGCGCUGCUAUAGCUAGUUGGAAAGGUAACCGCUUACCAAGGCAACUAUGCAUAUGCGACCGGAGAGGGACGUUGGCCACACUGAAAGUGAGACACGGUCCACACUCCGACGCGAAGCAGCAGUAGGGAAUCUUCCGCGAUGGGGGAGAGCCUGACAGAGCAACGCCGCGGGAGUGAUGAAGGUCCUCGGAUCGGUGGACGCUGUAAGUAGGGAAGAAGAUAUGUGUAAGUGACUGGGCACAUCAUGACGGUACCUAAUCAGAAAGCCACGGCUAACUACGUG
rnacentral:rRNA from 1 species